rnacentral:rRNA from 1 species
UGGCUCAGGACGAACGCUGGCGGCGUGCCUAAUACAUGCAAGUCGAGCGGACGAAUUUAUUGGUGCUUGCACCUUUAAUUUUCGUUAGCGGCGGACGGGUCAGUAACACGUGGGUAACCUACCUUAUAGAUUGGGAUAACUCCGGGAAACCGGGGCUAAUACCGAAUAACACUUUUUAACACAUGUUUGGAAGUUGAAAGACGGUUUCGGCUGUCACUAUAAGAUGGACCCGCGGCGCAUUAGCUAGUUGGUGAGGUAAUGGCUCACCAAGGCAACGAUGCGUAGCCGACCUGAGAGGGUGAUCGGCCACACUGGGACUGAGACACGGCCCAGACUCCUACGGGAGGCGGCAGUAGGGAAUCUUCCACAAUGGACGAAAGUCUGAUGGAGCAACGCCGCGUGAGUGAAGAAGGAUCUCGGUUCGUAAAACUCUGUUGCAAGG